AUACGUAGGUGGCAAGCGUUGUCCGGAAUUAUUGGGCGUAAAGCGCGCGCAGGCGGUCCUUUAAGUCUGAUGUGAAAGCCCACGGCUCAACCGUGGAGGGUCAUUGGAAACUGGAGGACUUGAGUGCAGAAGAGGAAAGUGGAAUUCCAAGUGUAGCGGUGAAAUGCGUAGAGAUUUGGAGGAACACCAGUGGCGAAGGCGACUUUCUGGUCUGUAACUGACGCUGAGGCGCGAAAGCGUGGGGAGCAAACAGGAUUUGAUACCCUGGUAGUCCACGCCGUAAACGAUGAGUGCUAAGUGUUAGGGGGUUUCCGCCCCUUAGUGCUGCAGCUAACGCAUUAAGCACUCCGCCUGGGGAGUACGGUCGCAAGACUGAAACUCAAAUGAAUUGACGGGG
rnacentral:rRNA from 1 species